CACCGCGGCCGCCAUUACACGGCACCGCCUCAGCGCGCCCGGCGGAGCGGGCAGGGCGCGGGGACACGGGGCUGAGGGAGCCCGGAGACCGGCCUGGCUCCCUGUACACCAGCGGGGGCUGCGGCGUGAGGGAGCUGAGGGAGCCCGGAGCCCGGCCUGGUUCUCUGUACACCAGCGAGGGCUGCGGUCUGAGGGAGCCCGGAGCCCGGCCUGGUUCUCUGUACACCAGCGGGGGCUGCGGUGUGAGGGAGCCCGGAGAUCAUCCCGGCUCCCUGUACACCAGCGAGGGGCGGUGUGAGAAAAUCUGGAGCCCAUCCCGCUCCCCCGUACACCAGUGAGGGCUGCGACAUGAGGGAGCUGAAGGAGCCCAGAGCUCAUCCCGGUUCUCCUCCCUGCCACGGGCACCUCCCGCUUCACAGCCGAUCCGGCAGCCGCGGCCUCGCCGCCCUCACAGCCAGGGAUUUCUCCCCGGUGCCGCGUCGGAAUAAUCGCCUCCCUUCAGAUCCUUGUGUGUUUCCUGCUGCUCUGGAGGGGAAUUCAUGGCCCUGAACAGUUUAAGAAGAGAAAUAUCCUGAACAUUUUAAGAAGAGAAAUAUCCUGACACUGUUCCAGUCCAUCCUGGUGCCACAGCUCUGGGUCCUGGGACCGCAGGUAACCCGCAGGGAAACGCAGCAGCUCCUCGGUGUAAAACAUUCCACACGUUCAGCAUCCAGCCUGCAAUGGCGUUAAUUAUUCAUUAGCUGGCAAUUAUCCUCCUUUCUGCCGGUCCUCAGCUUGGAAUUACAGAAGCACCCGGGGUUCUUCUCUGGUCUCAGCUCUCCUGGGCUCGGGGCAGAAUUACCAAAGUUCAAUUAAACCUUUUUUUCUGAUCAUUUAAAUAAAAAACUCUGAGGUUUC